rnacentral:sRNA from 1 species
GGAUGUGAGGGUGAUCUGGCUCUGCUCUCUGUCACCCCAUUGAUUGCUAGGGUUGAUGUAGCUGAUCUGGAUGGUUAGUGGGUGUCCCCUCCCUCCCUCACUGCUCCAGUGAGCUUCAGGAGGACUCCAAGCUCCCAGCUUAGUCAAAUAGGAUGGGGCACCCCAAUACAGGAGCACCAUUCCUCAGUCAAAGUUAUAUGGAAAAGAAGAUGCGCCCUUCCCAGGUGCCAGCAGUAACUGUGGGCUGGGAGGAGAAACAGGAAGUGCCCUUUCCAAGAGCCAGUGGUGACU